rnacentral:rRNA from 1 species
AAAGUUAAACGGCCGCGGUAUCCUGACCGUGCAAAGGUAGCAUAAUCACUUGUUCCUUAAUUAGGGACUAGUAUGAACGGCUAGACGAGGGAUCAACUGUCUCCUAUUCUCAAUCAGUGAAAUUGACCUUCCAGUGAAGAGGCUGGAAUAUAUAAAUAAGACGAGAAGACCCUAUGGAGCUUCAAUUAACUAGCUUAUUUUCAAAAAAAAAUAACCUAAUGGACUAAAAACGAAAACAUAAGCUAAAAAUUUCGGUUGGGGUGACCUCGGAGAAUAAAAAAACCUCCGAACGAUUUUAGCACAGACUAACAAGUCAAAGCAAUUAAUUUAUUCUUAUUGACCCAAAAUACUUUGAUCAACGGACCAAGUUACCCUAGGGAUAACAGCGCAAUCCUAUUUAAGAGUUCAUAUCGACAAUUAGGGUUUACGACCUCGAUGUUGGAUCAGGACAUCCCAA